rnacentral:rRNA from 1 species
CCUACGGGCGGCAGCAGUCGAGAAUCAUUCACAAUGGGGGAAACCCUGAUGGUGCGACGCCGCGUGGGGGAAUGAAGGUCUUCGGAUUGUAAACCCCUGUCAUGUGGGAGCAAAUUAAAAAGAUAGUACCACAAGAGGAAGAGACGGCUAACUCUGUGCCAGCAGCCGCGGUAAUACAGAGGUCGCAAGCGUUGUUCGGAAUCACUGGGCGUAAAGCGUGCGUAGGCUGUUUCGUAAGUCGUGUGUGAAAGGCGCGGGCUCAACCCGCGGACGGCACAUGAUACUGCGAGACUAGAGUAAGGGAGGGGGAACCGGAAUUCUCGGUGUAGCAGUGAAAUGCGUAGAUAUCGAGAGGAACACUCGUGGCGAAGGCGGGUUCCUGGACAUUAACUGACGCUGAGGCACGAAGGCCAGGGGAGCGAAAGGGAUUAGAUACCCUUGUAGUC